rnacentral:rRNA from 1 species
CCUUAUUUUUAAAUACAUAAAAACACCACAUCCGGUCUGAUCUUGAAAGUUAAGCAGGGACAGCCCUGGUUAGUACGUGGAUGGGAAACCACCAGUGAAUACUAGAUGCUGUAAGCU